rnacentral:tRNA from 1 species
AGCCUUGUAGUUUAUAAAAAUAUUAAGUUGCAGCCUUAAAGAAGAGAUUACUCCUAGGCUU